CGCUUGUGUAUUCUUGGUAAGAAUUUGCCUUUCUGGCCCUUAGUGCUUCAGCUAGCACUGUCGUCCUGGAGCUUUUAGAAUGUUUGAUCCACAAGUGUGGAAUCCUACUAAUCAUCCCAGGUGCGAUCCACUUACAGCAAAGGAGGCGUGAGAAUGGGCCUACAACCGCUGGAUUUACUGGUUGUAUCAUAUACUUACAGUAUCAAGAAGUAACUGGCCUGUUGCUCUAACAGGCCUUCUAGCAAUGGCCUUCUCAAGACAUAGGUGAAGCUCCAGCUUGAAGGCAAUAAUCCGAAAGGAUGAAGAAGCACCAUACUCAGAAUGCACACUAUACAUUUAAACAGAGACCUAAAUGUGAUGCUCUGCCAAUAAUAGGAAGAAUAUAUGGGCCCAGGUACCAAGGUGGGUAGCAGAAGGGUUCCUCUUGCCAUCAUCUCUGACAUACUGGAGGACAUUGUACUUCUCAUCCCUAUAAUUCUGGGCAUUGCAUUGCUAGAGUUCCUUGCCUAAAGUGAGAGGACUCUUACAAGGAGACAUAGCAAGAGUUUCAUUCAACUGGAACACUUUGGACAUCUUGUGUUCAGGGUCUCACAGGUAAGAAGAGACUCAUCAUUUGGUAGAAUAAUUGACACUGAUCAGCAGAAGGAGGUAGCGAAACUUUCAGACAUUGAUGGUUAGGAGGAAUGUAUAGAAAGCAAGUAAUCUCUGAGCACAUCUUGGUACUCUCUUAUCUCAACAUAAGUCUACAUGGACCUAUGCAGCAACUCUGAAGAAAGAACCGUGUGAAAACCAGGAGAUCAGAUCCUUCAGAAAUGAUAUUUUGGGUCACACCACCAGGUCUCUGGAAAAAUUGUAGAGAAAUUAUCAGUCCUUCACCUGACUUUAAAGGACCCUUCAGUUUGUAGAAGGGGCUCAGAAAAAGAGCUGAUGCAGGUCUUGGCACUGUGCCAGUCAUAGAUGAAGGUGUUUCUGUCAGUUCCCCGAGUCGUUGUCCUCUGCAACUCUCAAGCUGUCCCUGCUGCUCUGGAGGCAAGAUGUCACUGAGGUGACUGUUGCCCACGGAGGCUUCAUGGCUG
rnacentral:lncRNA from 10 species